rnacentral:rRNA from 1 species
UACGGGGGAGCAAGCGUUGUUCGGAUUUACUGGGCGUAAAGCGUGUUCAGGCGGCCUGGCAAGUCGGGCAUGAAAUCUCUCGGCUCAACCGAGAGAGGCUGUCCGAUACUGCUGGGCUUGAGGACGGUAGAGGGUGGUGGAAUUCCGCGUGUAGCGGUGAAAUGCGUAGAUAUCUGGAGGAACACCGGUGGCGAAGGCGGCAUCCUGGACCGGUAUUGACGCUGAGGCGCGGAAAGCCAGGGGAGCAAACGGGAU